AGGGUCCUUAGACAAAGUAACAUCGCUUGGUAGCGAAACGAUAUCUAAAAUCGUCAUCGUCUCAACGAUAACGACAAACAUUUCUUAGCCAAAGUAACAUCGCGAUCGUUAUCGUUGUGUCGAAUCGAUUAUUCGCUAAAAAGCAAAAAUAUUGUUUAUGGUAACGAAAAUUUAGCUGUCAGUGUCACUCAAGAAGUUCAAAUCGGAUUAUUCCCGCGAGUUAUUACUGUUUUCGAAUUUUACUGAUAAGAAUAAGUGAGUUGUUGGCGAUCGCCGUACUUCGUGAGGGUGAUGUUAUCACAGUCAGCGACGUUGGAGUGCUGGGUGACGUCACGGGAUCGGCACGGUGGUCGCCGCGCCGGUGGGCUUCAAGUGGUUGUGCUGCGAUGUCCUUAGCCCAGACGUAAAUAUCCGAAAACUGCUGGGCUCAAGUGCUUCCCAAGAGAAAUAUGACUUUAUUAGUUCAAUUUCGAACUAGCCCUCGCAUAAGACAGUCCACGUUAUUUCUAUGAUAGUGAUGAAACAUGGAAUCAAGAGUGCGAACAAGUUCCCAACAAUUGUCAAUGCUGCUUGAGGAUAUGGCAAAUCAUGGUGACCCGGUGAGGCCUCUUGCUGCAUCACUAGGUUGGGUACGGUCAGACCGACUGUGGACUGAACUGACAAACAUAUUGAAUGCUGUCAGUGGUGGUGGCAGCAAGACUACAGACAAGUGAUAAAAAGUAAGGAUCUAAUGAACAUUUUUGGAAAGACUGGUGUGAUGGUAGAGUGGCUAGCAAGCUAUUUUCUAAAGGGUUUUGGAUAAGUGGACACACCCUUGUGGUUAUGAAAAUUGGCUUGUAAUAAUUUUCUCUGUUAUAACUAGACUGGGGACUUUUUAUAAUUAUGAUGAUGAUGAUGAUGAUCAAUCUCUGACACCCAUAUAGUAAGAAAGAAACAAGAAAUGUUUAUUGGCAUAUACCAUAAAACAUUUGCUUUCUUAGUUGUAAGUUUUCUUUUAAGCAAAUAUGUAAAAGAAAACAUACAGCUAAACAUUAACCUCCUUACUACAAAAAUUCAAAUAAGUACAUAUAUAGUAUAGUACAAGCUAUACUUUGGUGUCCAAACCUGCAUGUUAUUGUUAUUUUUCAAUUAAUUUCAAAAGUUCUUGACAAAUUGGCUUUUUAAUCUCAUAUACACAUAUAUUAUACUUAUAACUAUGGACAAGACUAUAGAAAAGCUAGGAUUUAAAUUAAUGUAAGUACUAGGUAUACACCUUCAAGGGAUCUGCUCAAAAAUGAGCUACUUAAUUGUCUCUAGUAGGUAGAUGGCAAAUAAAUAAAUCGAAAUGUUUUAUAAAGUAUUCUUAUUAACAUUAGUCAACCAAGUAACUUCACUUACAUGAAAGACACCAUUAAAUUUUUUGAUAAAUUAGUUUUUAACUUGGUUAAUCUGGUUAUGAAUUAUUAUUUAUAAAAAUUCUUAUACAUAAAUAUUUAAUAUAAAUAAUAUUUCUCCAUCCACCAGGCGUGGUCCGCGGUUGAGAUCGCCAGCGACACCGCAGUCUGCUGUUUCUCCCGACCCUCGUUUGAGCGACCCCCUUCGAGACAGCGGCAAGCGAGUAGCUAAAAAGCUAAGAGCACACAGCACCUGAAAAUUAUAAUAAUACAGAUUUAGA